GACGAACCGUGCGAACGUUGUUCGGAAUCACUGGGCUUAAAGGGCGCGUAGGCGGCUUGCCAAGUCAGGGGUGAAAUCUUUCGGCUCAACCGGAAAAGUGCCUCUGAUACUGGCGAACUCGAGGGAGGUAGGGGUAUGUGGAACUUCCGGUGGAGCGGUGAAAUGCGUUGAUAUCGGGAGGAACACCAGUGGCGAAGGCGGCGAUCUGGGAAGAUACUGACGCUGAGGUGCGAAAGCGUGGGGAGCAAACAGG
rnacentral:rRNA from 1 species